rnacentral:rRNA from 1 species
GACGAACGCUGGCGGCGUGCCUAAUACAUGCAAGUAGGACGCAGUUGCGAACGGGUGAGCAACGCGUAGGUAACUGCCUAGUAGAGGGUGAUAACUACUGGAAAAGAUAGCUCAUACCGCAUACCAGUAGACGGAUCUGCGGUGUAUUAGCUAGUAGGUAGGGGAAUGGCCUACCUAGGCAACCAUACAUAGCCGGCCAGUGGAGGUGAUCCGCCAAAAUGGGACUGAGGCACGGGCCAAACUCCCUCAGGGAGCAGCCAUAGGGAAUCAUCGGCAAUGGGGGGAACCCUUGCCGGGCAAAGCCACGUGAGUUAAAAAGGGUUUCGGGUCGUAAAGCUCUUUUGUUAAGGCAGCGGUACUUAACCAGAAAGAGACGGCUAACUACGUGCCAGCAGCCGCGGUAAUAC